CGCCGAGCAGCUGCUCACGCCUCUGCUCUCUCCAACCAUUUGCCCACUCGCUGGACGAAGAAGCAACCGUCACCAGGAGCACAACUAAACCCUCUCCCUGUCCUCUAGUGUCAGCUGAGUGAGAAAAGAGAAAGAAAUCAGAAGCUUAAGGAUGGACCACUCCUAAGUAUUUGACUGACACUUGGCACAGUUGGACUUUCUUUUUGGAUAAUUGUGGCCUCUAUCAGAUUUACCAGAGGGAGCUACCUUGCUGAGAAAAGCAGCAAUCGUCCAUGGAGGCCUCCGUUGCCUUAACCCAGCAGCUGGUGGAAGUAGAAGCAGACACCCACAGCUAAACACUGAACUGAACUGAAAUCCAGAUGCAGAGAAGGAGCACUGAUGAGCACAGGGAUCCAUACCAGGCUGGUGAAACCCACAGAAACAGCUGACCUGAACAAGGGGGAGCUCUUGGUCCCCAGACUGAUAGCUGGGAAACUAGCAUGGGACUGAUCCAGACCCCCUGAAUGUAGGUGUCAGUGAGGAGACCUUGGAAAUCCAUGGUGCCUCUUGUAGUGGAUCAGUACUUAUCCCUAGCAUAGGAACGGACUUUGGGAGCCCAUCCCACAUGGAGGGAUACUCCCUGAGCCUAGACACAAGGGGGUGGGCCUAGACCCUAUCCCAAAGGAUAUGGCAGACUUUUAAGACCCCCUACGGAAGGCCUCACCCUCCCUGGGGAGCAGAAAGGGUAUGGGAUAGGUAGGGUGUUUGAUGGGGGGGGCAGGGGAGGAGGGAAGGGAGAGGGACCUGGG
rnacentral:lncRNA from 1 species